GACGAACGCUGGCGGCGUGCUUAACACAUGCAAGUCGAACGGAAAGGCCCUGCUUUUGUGGGGUGCUCGGGUGGCGAACGGGUGAGUAACACGUGAGUAACCUGCCCUUGACUUUGGGAUAACUUCAGGAAACUGGGGCUAAUACCGGAUAGGAGCUCCUGCUGCAUGGUGGGGGUUGGAAAGUUUCGGCGGUUGGGGAUGGACUCGCGGCUUAUCAGCUUGUUGGUGGGGUAGUGGCUUACCAAGGCUUUGACGGGUAGCCGGCCUGAGAGGGUGACCGGCCACAUUGGGACUGAGAUACGGCCCAGACUCCUACGGGAGGCAGCAGUGGGGAAUAUUGCACAAUGGGCGGAAGCCUGAUGCAGCAACGCCGCGUGCGGGAUGACGGCCUUCGGGUUGUAAACCGCUUUCACCUGUGACGAAGCGUGAGUGACGGUAAUGGGUAAAGAAGCACCGGCUAACUACGUG
rnacentral:rRNA from 1 species